rnacentral:rRNA from 1 species
CCUACGGGUGGCUGCAGUGGGGAAUAUUGCACAAUGGGCGCAAGCCUGAUGCAGCCAUGCCGCGUGUGUGAAGAAGGCCUUCGGGUUGUAAAGCACUUUCAGCGGGGAGGAAGGCGUUAAGGUUAAUAACCUUGGCGAUUGACGUUACCCGCAGAAGAAGCACCGGCUAACUCCGUGCCAGCAGCCGCGGUAAUACGGAGGGUGCAAGCGUUAAUCGGAAUUACUGGGCGUAAAGCGCACGCAGGCGGUCUGUCAAGUCGGAUGUGAAGUCCCCGGGCUCAACCUGGGAACUGCAUUCGAAACUGGCAGGCUAGAGUCUUGUAGAGGGGGGUAGAAUUCCAGGUGUAGCGGUGAAAUGCGUAGAGAUCUGGAGGAAUACCGGUGGCGAAGGCGGCCCCCUGGACAAAGACUGACGCUCAGGUGCGAAAGCGUGGGGAGCAAACAGGAUUAGAUACCCUAGUAGUC